ACUGAGUUCUUGAACCGAAAAGAUGCCUGAUGAGAAUAUAGGUUUAGAUCCCAGUUUGACUGCAGAUAGAAACCAAAAGCAAAAUCACAAUAGUGCGUGCAGGUUUCUUCAAACUGGGCAAGUAGCAAGGCAGCCAUAUUUCCUGCCGCCUCUGUCUCUUGGUCGCAUUUUUUUCAGACCAGAUGGGCGGGAGAAGAGGGCAUGGGGGCAGUGUUAGGUUGAAUUUCUGGAGCAACACUGCCAUCGUGAGGAAAUCUCAGGAAAAAGCCCCAAGGAUUCCUCUCUGAAACGACUUUUAGUUUGGAAAGGUCCAUUCUGUGGGGAGGCUAAUGGGCCAGGCCCCAAGCCAAAGGUCAGUGCCUCCUCCAGAGAACUACCUGGGGCUCUGGACAAAGUGUGGGAUCCAGGUGUGGGAGCUUGCCAGUGGGGAGGCAAGACAGCCAGCAGCUGCCAGGAAGUCCAGGCACAGGAAGUCAUGGGGUGGGGUCUUGGUAUUCUCCCAGUGUGGGCGGGACCAGAGGAAACCACUUAGAGACAAAGUACUGGGCCUGUGAGUAUUUUUCUCUCUCCCAGCCCUUCAGAGCACGUGGUGUUCCUGUGCUCUAGGACUUGGGCCCUUUUUGGUAGCAGAGUCUGAGAAUAGAGGACAGGACAAUUCCUGGUGGCUUAUAGCAAGACCCAGUGUGCUUGCUGGAGGUCUCAGGUGCACCCAAAUUGGACCUGGGAGAGCCUGAAGAGAAGUGGAAUCACCCAACCAAGCCAAGAAGUACUUCUGCUAGGAGAGCAGAUCUCGCACAAACAGAUGGGAACCAAAAACAGGUGAAGAGGAUUGAAGAUGAACCUACAUUUUAAAAGUCUGUCUGCCGGAGGUGGCAUUACCUGUGACCUCGCUUCACUUCUUCAUACAUGGCUGUUGUAGCAGGUACAUUGUAAAGAAGCAUGAUUAUUUCUAGAAAUGCAAAAACAGGUGGCAAAAUUUUAAAACGUGUCAGAAUUCCAAAGACUAUUUUAUGAUGCUUCAAAAAGCAUUCAAGCUACAAGGCUUGGCUCCUUGAGACUUGCCCUCAGAAACAGGCUACUUGAUAUCUUGAGAAAAUGCAUGAAAUGCAAAGCUGAGUGAAGAAGAGUCAAGUAGAAAUCGAGUUCUUGCAAAAGAAGAUGCUCGAUCAGGAUGAGUAGUUUAGGUAUCAGUUUUGAUUUCAGAUGGAAACCAAAAGCAAAAGAACAACAGUGUGAACAGGCUUCGUAAAACUGGGCAAAAUACAAGGCAGCCAUGUUUCCUGGUAACUUUGUCUCUUCAUGGCGUUUUUUCAGACUGGUUGGGCGGGGGAUGACAGCGCAAAAACAGGGCUUGUUUGCACAUAUGGAGCACUACUGCCAUCGUGCGGAAGUAGUUUGAAAACAGCAUAAACCAUUACUUUACCGUGAAGCCAAAAGUUGAGAAAGGUCAGACCUAUGGGAAGUUGGAACAGGCUUGGACCUAAGCUGGGGCUCCUUGCCUUCUUCUCUGAGGCCUUACAAGGGACUUGAACACUGGUGGGAUCUUGGUGUACAACUUGGAGAGUAAGGAGCUGGAACUGAGCCAGCAGCUGCCAGGAGGUUCUGGCACAGGAAGUCAUGGGCAAGGCUUUGUUUUCUACCCAGUGUGGACUGGAUUAGAGAAAUCCACUGAAAGACAAAUGCAGGCUCUUGUGGGCAUUUGUCUCCUGUUGUUCCUCCUUGAAGUGAAAGGUAGCAGGCUUUCAAGUGCUAUCCUGGUGUUAUGUGGCACGGAUCUCUUGUGGCAGCAGUGUCAGAACACCAAGGAUAGGCCAGUUCCAGGUGGCAUAUAACAGAGGCAAGAGUGCUUGCUGAAGUUCUCAGAUACACUCAAAUGUUUAAAGGCCCAUUACCUGGAGUUCAGAGGGCCUGAAGAGGAGUGGGACCCCCAAGCCAAACCAAGAAGUGUUAAAACUUCUAAGGGAGCAGAUGUAAAAAAACAGAUAGGGACCAAAAGAGUGAAAAGGAUUGAAAAUAAAUACACAUUUUAAAAUCCUUCCCUGCCAGAGGUAGCAUGACCCACGACCUUGCUUUACUUCAUGCACGUCUUUCAUAGCAGGUACGUUGUAAAAAAGCAUGACUAUUUCUAGAAAUGAGAAAACAGGUGACAAAAAUGAUGCCACUGAAGAUGGUGAAGUAGGAAACUCUAGUGCUCCAUCCCUCCACAAAAGCAACUAAUGAGCUGACAAAACCUGUCAGAAAAAUCCAGAACUCUAGAUCUAGUUGAAAACUUAUGAAAACCAAGGAAGGCUUGGUGGAGAAAAAAGUGACUACUUUGCAGUGAGAGAGUGCUGUAGUAUUUUAAAUUCCCCAUUUACCAUCUCCCAAUCACCACACUGACUUAAAGAUGGCCUCUGUUCUCCUGGUGAAUGACGUUAGUGCCCAAGGGAGCAAUACGGACUUUAUUCUCAAAGAACUGUGGUUGUCCAUUUUGACCUGUCUUGAGGUUCUCUCAAGGACUGGUGCAAGAGCUUGCCUUCAACUUAGCUGGAGUGUUUCCAGGGCUGUUGUGUCUUCCAGAAAGACAUUCACUAAAAUAAUUUAAAGGCACAAGUAUUGGCCAGAGCAGCCUGGAGCAAGGGACAAUAGUCAAGACAAGCAACAGACAGAUGGAAAAGCAUAGGAAGGAGGAGACUGUGAAAGAAGAUUUGUGGGAAAACAAGGAAUUUUAAAAGUUCUUGCAUGUACUGGAGAAACGAGAAAACCACAGACGUGUCCAGAGCUGGAUAACUGCUCAGAAAAUGUCUGAGGAGACCCUAAGCUCUCAAGUUCCACUAGUCCUUAGGUUCCCUGCAAGCUGGAAGUGAAGGAUUAGGUAGAGUUGUGAACAGCCUGUAUAAUUGUUGAGACAGUUCCCCAAUAUAAAACCAAUCUGCAAAAACUGAGAAUAUUUUUCUUAGGUUUUAGACAUUUAAAGAAAGUUUGUUAGAACAUUAAGUGAUCACUAAGCUAACAGAACAUAGACUUAAGUGGCCAAACAUGACAAAGAAUAUAGACUUUACAAAAAUAAUUGAGGAAAGUCACCAAACAAACAAGAACUCAUAAGUAGAAUCAACAAAACCUGUGGUAAGGGAGGUUAGAAAUCUGAUUUCCAGCAUUAAUACAUUAUAACAUUCAACGUGCCUAGUUUGCAAUAACAAAAAAUGAGUCAGGCAAACAAGAGUAUGGCCCAUUCAUAGGGAAAAAAGGAAUUAAUAGAAACUAUCUAGAACAAAGCCUAUGCAUUGGACUUACUAGAAAAGACUUUAAAUCAACUCUUAAAUAUGCUCAAAGGGGGAAAGGAAACUAAAUACAAAGUAGUAAAGGAAACCAGAAGAACAAUAUCUCACCAAAUGGAAAAUAUCAAUACAGAGAUAGAAAUUAUAAAAAAAAA